rnacentral:tRNA from 1 species
GGAGAGAUACUCAAAAGGUUAAGAGGUCAGUUUGCUAAACUGAUAGGUCGAGUCAGCGACGUCAGGGUUCAAAUCCCUGUCUCUCCGCCA